UUCUAUGAAUCGUUGAAGUUGCUUAUUGUAAGCGGUGUUUGUUUGACAGGUAAGUGGCUAGUUUCAGUAAAAUUAAAAAUUUUUUAUUUCCUAGGUUUGGCAGUUUUGGUACAUUUCAAAUUCAUGUUGGCAUUAGCACCACAGAAGAAAAAAAUUGACUUGGAAGGAAAGGUGGUUACUAUCAAGGAGAAUCAUGAAACUAGAGCAUGAUUUACCAUGAACCAUUUGGGAACCAACUUGUUAGCUGCCUUAUAACUAUCAUCCUUCUGAUGAAAUAACAGCAUUACAGCUGUUAGUUACGUCAAGACAUUAAUCUCAAGAUGCAAGUACUGAGCUUUAACGGAUUUCAAUUUACAUAAGCAAGACAACCAAUUCUGUUGUUGAGGAGAAAACCAACUACACACCCAGCUAUGAAUGGUAAAAUAUGUGUAAUUGAAUCUAAAUUAAUUUUAUUUUUAUGGUUUAAAGGCUUUUCGUUCUUCCGUUCACGUUCAAGGCUACAACUCAUCGAAUCGGACUUUUAUAAGCAUGCCAUAAAAUACCUCGCCAUUUUUAAUUGAACCAUUUGUUCUAGGUCUUAGUCAUUGGUGAAGAAAACCACUUGCCUUACAUGAGGCCACCACUAUCGCGUAAGAAUUAUGGUUCAGUGACGAUCCCGAAGUGUCAAACAAACUGAAGUUUAAGCAGUGGAACGGAAAAAAGUGAAGUUUGUUCUUCGAUCAGGAUGAAUUCUACUGCAGUCCAGUGGAAUUAGUUGCCAAAGAAAAUGGUGGUGUUUCAGUUGUGCGAUGACAUCAUGUAGUUAAACUGGACAUUGCUGGUCGCAAAGCUGAGUUAGAUGACGGCCUUACCAUCACCUACGACAAGUGCCUUAUUGCCACAGGUGGCAAACCCUAACAUCCAGCAGGAAUAAAGAUGUUUUGGAAGCAGUUGAAAGGCCCGCAAAGUAAAACAACAGAGUUAUUCGACUUUUUCCAUCAGCAGCAACAGCAGCCUGAGCAACGGCCGCAUAGCAGUGUGAAAAAAAAGUGAAAAAAAUUCAAAUCUCGGACGCAGUGCAGUUGUUCGCCGAUUAUUCGAAGAGCAUACGAAACUAUUUAUACGAUGUCGAUGGCAAUAUUCUGCUUGAUGUUUACACUCAAACCUCUUCAGUUCCAUUAGGUUACAACCACCCUGAAUUAUUAGAUGUCAAGAUAAAGAAAACAUCAGAACAUUCAUAAACCGACCUGCCCUCGGUGUAUUUCCUGGUGAAAAUUAUCCUCAGCGAGUCCAGAAUUCUCUGUUACGUAUUGCUCCCAAAGGCCAUACAGAGGUAACGACGAUGGCGUGUGGAUCGUGCUCAAACGAAAAUGCGUACAAGGCAAUUUUCGUUUGGUAUCGCCGGAAACAGAGGGGAGAUAAGUCAUAUACCCCAGAGGAGAAGACGAGUUGCGUAAUGAACCAAUUGCCUGGUGUUUCUGACCUGACUCUUAUGUCUUUCAAAGGCGCUUUCCACGACAGAACGUUUGGUACGUUAAUCACGACUCAUACCAAGCCAGUCCAUAAACUGGACAUUCCUACAAAGGACUGGCCAAUUGGAACCUUCCCUCGCCACAAGUAUCCGUUGGAAGAAUUUGUGAAAAUGAGGAAGAAGAUCAUCGCUGUUUGGCGGAAGUUGAAGAGCUUUUUGAUCGGUACAACAAAUGUAAAUAAUAUGCUUACCUGGAUUUAGUUCGUCUGUUGCUACCGAAGUCAAAUCGAAAAAGUUUUUUUUGAAUUUUUUGUUUAAUUAUUUGUAUUUUGUAAAAAUAAAUGAUAUGUAAAUCAA